GCUGCGGUAAUUUGACCGUGCAAAGGUAGCAUAAUCAGUAGUCUUUUAAUUGAAGGCUUGAAUGAACGGUUGGAUGAGAGAAAAGCUGUCUCUUUUAUAGAUUAAAAUUUGACUUUUAAGUGAAAAGGCUUAAAUUUAAUAAAGGGACGAUAAGACCCUAUAAAACUUUAUAAGAGAUUUAUUUUAUUUUUAAAUUCUUUUUAAAAAUUAUAAAGUAUUUCUUUUAUUUUGUUGGGGCGACAUUGAUAUAAGCUGUAACUGUUUGAAUAAAAAUUAUAACUAUCAUUAUUGUUUGAUCCUUCUUUGUGGAUAAAAAGACUAAGUUACUUUAGGGAUAACAGCGUAAUUUUUUUUGAGAGUUCUUAUCGAAGAAAAUAGUUGCGACCUCGAUGUUGAAUUAAAAUUUCAGGCAAGUGUAGCCGCUUGUUAUGUGGGUCUGUUCGACCUUUAAAAUU
rnacentral:rRNA from 1 species